AGAGAGAGACAUGCGCGCAUAUCAAUAAGCGGAGGAAAAGAAACUAACAAGGAUCCCCUUAGUAACGGCGAGUGAAGCGGGAAGAGCUCAAAUUUGAAAUCUUCAAGGUUUUACCUUGACGAAGGUGUAGUUUAAAGAAGUGUUUUCUGCUGAAGUUUUAGGUAAAAGUUCUUUGGAAUAGGACAUCAUAGAGGGUGAGAAUCCCGUAUUUGACCAUUAUUUUCAGCUUUGUGAUACACUUUCAAAGAGUCGGAUUGUUUGGGAAUGCAGUCCAAAAUGGGUGGUAAAUUUCAUCUAAAGCUAAAUAUUGGCGAGAGACCGAUAGCGAACAAGUACCGUGAGGGAAAGAUGAAAAGAACUUUGAAAAGAGAGUUAAACAGUACGUGAAAUUGUCAAAAGGGAAGCGUUUGACACCAGUGUUGUUUUCUCGAAAAUCAAUUAAAAAUGGCUCGAUUUAGUACUGUUGAGACCUUAAAAGCUCACUGUACAUUUUUCGUGUCUUUUUUAAUGCACUUUUCGUUUAACAAGUCAACAUCAGUUUCUUUUGUUGUAAAAGGGUCAUUGGAAGGUGGCUUUCUUUUCGGAGAAAGUGUUUAUAGCCUUUGGCCUCUGCAAUCGGAAGAGACUGAGGUCUGCAGCGUAGACUCUUCGGGGUUAGAUACAUUUGUGCUAAGUUAUAGCUUUUUAUAGACAACUUGUUGACUAUAAUUAGUCUUGUAGCUUACUCGCUUAUGCUAUUUUACCUACGCUUAGGAUGUUGAAGAUGUAGCACAUCAU
rnacentral:rRNA from 1 species